rnacentral:rRNA from 1 species
UACGUAGGGGGCGAGCGUUGUCCGGAUUUAUUGGGCGUAAAGAGCGUGUAGGCGGUUCGGUAAGUCUGUCGUGAAAUCCUGAGGCUCAACCUCGGGCGUGCGAUGGAUACUGCCGGGCUAGAGGGUGGUAGAGGCGAGUGGAAUUCCCGGUGUAGCGGUGAAAUGCGCAGAUAUCGGGAGGAACACCAGUAGCGAAGGCGACUUCCUGGACCAGUACUGACGCUGAGGCACGGAAAGCGUGGGGAGCAAACAGG